UUACGGUCAUAUGACGUUGAAACACCGGUUCUCGUAAGAUCGCCGAAGUUAAGCAUCAUCAAGCCUGGUUAUUACCUAGAUGGGUGACCGUUUGGGAAUAACAGGUGCUA